CCACCGCCAUUCAAUGUGUAACAAUCGGAUGAGAGCAAGGACAUCACCUUAAAGUCCUGGGCAAUUUCACGGACGAGCCUCUGGAAUGGGAGCUUCCUGAUCAAAAGCUCAGUGCUCUUCUGGUACUUACGAAUUUCACUGCAA